GACGAACCGUGCGAACGUUAUUCGGAAUCAUUGGGCUUAAAGCGUGCGCAGGCGGUUUGUUAAGACAGAUGUGAAAUCCCCGGGCUUAACCUGGGAACUGCAUUUGUGACUGCAUGGCUAGAGUACGGUAGAGGGGGAUGGAAUUUCGCGUGUAGCAGUGAAAUGCGUAGAUAUGCGGAGGAACACCGAUGGCGAAGGCAAUCCCCUGGACCUGUACUGACGCUCAUGCACGAAAGCGUGGGGAGCAAACAGG
rnacentral:rRNA from 1 species